rnacentral:rRNA from 1 species
CCAGACUCCUACGGGAGGCAGCAGUGGGGAAUAUUGCACAAUGGGCGAAAGCCUGACCCAGCAACGCCGCGUGAAGGAAGAAGGCUUUCGGGUUGUAAACUUCUUUUGACAGGGAAGAGCAGAAGACGGUACCUGUCGAAUAAGCCACGGCUAACUACGUGCCAGCAGCCGCGGUAAUACGUAGGGGGCAAGCGUUAUCCGGAUUUACUGGGUGUAAAGGGAGCGUAGACGGCAUGGCAAGUCAGAUGUGAAAGCCCGGGGCUCAACCCCGGGACUGCAUUUGAAACUGUCAGGCUGGAGUGCAGGAGAGGUAAGUGGAAUUCCUAGUGUAGCGGUGAAAUGCGUAGAUAUUAGGAGGAACACCAGUGGCGAAGGCGGCCUGCUGGACGGUGACUGACGCUGAGGCUCGAAAGCGUGGGGAGCAAACAGGAUUAGAUACCCGCGUA